rnacentral:rRNA from 1 species
AUGGCGCCGCCUCGCUCCACCGCCGCCCCUCCAAACCUCCCUAUCCCCGACCCUACGGCCGUCGACGAGUUCAAUCUGCAUCUGCUCCACGCGGCGAGCGAGGGCGACCUCCCGCUCUUAAAGGGGCUGGUGCGGGCGCUGGAGAAGAGCAGGCGGGAUCCCAGGGAGGUGCUGGAUGCGACCAGGGAGGAAGGCCUCGGGGCGCUGCACAUGGCCGCCAGAAUUGGGAGCGUGCCGGUGUGCAGGUACCUGGUCGAGGAGAUAAGGGUCGAUGUGGACGCCGACGGCGCUGAAUCCGUAACACCUCUGAUUUGCGCAAUGUUUGGUGGAAGCUUGGAUACUAUCCGCUAUCUUCUCGAUCAUGGGGCUAAUCCUGACAAAGUUAUCGGCGACUGCUUCACCCCGCUUCAUCAUGCCGCUGGAAUGGGAGACCGUGAAAUGGUGGAACUCUUGCUUACAAAAGGAGCUUCUGUUGACUCAGUAUCUGUCAGUGGGACACCAUUGCAUAUCGCUGCCUUCAGAGGGCAGGAUGAAGCUAUGCAAGUUUUAUUGGAGAACAACGCAGAUCAUAACAAGAUACUGCCUGGUAUUGACACCCCCCUUAUUUCUGCUAUAACUGCUUCCUCAGUGAAAUGUGUCAAGCUCCUGAUUGAGGCUGGUGCUGAUGUCAAUGACGGUCUUGUACCCCCUUUAGCUGCUGCUGCAGAUAAAGGCUUAACUGCAUGCUUGAAAUGCUUACUGGAAGCUGGUGCUGACCCUAAUGUUCCUGACCCCUCGGGUAGGCUGCCAAUAGAACUCGCUGCACUAAACGGUACAAGGGAAGAUGUUGAGAUCUUAUUCCCUGUAACUUCUUGUAUUCCAACUGUGCAUGAUUGGAGCAUCGACGGAAUAAUACACCAUGCAAAGUCAGUGUCUAUGAAACAGGGUGAUUAUUCAAAUCUAAGAAGAAUAGAAGAGCUGAAGUCACUUGGGGUUAAGUCUGUCAAGAGAAAUGAUUAUUCUACUGCGGCAACAAUGUAUAGUAUGGCAAUGGAGCAUGACCCUCAUGAUGCCACCUUGUUCUGGAACAGGAGCCUUUGCUGGCUCCGCAUGGGUGAUGGACACAAUGCUUUGCAGGAUGCCCUUGCGUGCAGAGAAAUGCGGCCUGGCUGGCCAAAGGCCUGCUACCGGCAGGGCGCAGCGCUCAUGUUAUUGAAGGACUACGGGGGUGCACGUGAUGCUUUUCUGGACGCAGCCAAGUUGGACCCGCAGAGCUCUGAGAUCAAGGCUGCGUUGCGGGAAGCUAUGAAUUCCUUGGAGAUAUCCCAUGGCGCAACAAAGACCACUUGA